GACGAACGCUGGCGGCGUGCCUAAUACAUGCAAGUAGAACGCUGAAGAGAGGAGCUUGCUCUUCUUGGAUGAGUUGAGAACGGGUGAGUAACGCGUAGGUCACCUGCCUUGUAGCGGGGGAUAACUAUUGGAAACGAUAGCUAAUCCCGCAUAACAACGGAUGACAUAUGUCAUUUAUUUGAAAUGCGCAAUUGCUCCACUACAAGAUGGACCUGCGUUGUAUUAGGUAGUAGGUGAGGUAAUGGCGCACCUAGGCGGCGAUACAGAGCCGACCGGAGUGGGUGAGCAGCCGGACUGAGACUGAGACACGGCCCAGACGCAUACGGGAAGCAGCAGGAGGGAAUCGGCGGCAAUGAGUGCAACACUGAGCAAACUGCGCGGCGGGAGUGUGGAGGGUUUUCGGGUCGUAAAGCUCUGUUGUAAGUCAAGAACGGGUGUGAGAGUGUAAAGUUCACACUGUGACGGUAGCUUACCAGAAAGGGACGGCUAACUACGUG
rnacentral:rRNA from 1 species